AUUCCCUAUGAUGGCUUAACCAUGCUAAUACUGAUUUCUUUUGAUUGAAACAACGUUAAUUGACUGAGGGAAUA
rfam:Brassica napus, WGS project CCCW01000000 data, contig: 1085